rnacentral:rRNA from 1 species
UACGUAGGGUGCGAGCGUUAAUCGGAAUUACUGGGCGUAAAGCGUGCGCAGGCGGUUUUGUAAGACAGAUGUGAAAUCCCCGGGCUUAACCUGGGAACUGCGUUUGUGACUGCAAAACUCGAGUGCGGCAGAGGGGGGUGGAAUUCCACGUGUAGCAGUGAAAUGCGUAGAGAUGUGGAGGAACACCGAUGGCGAAGGCAGCCCCCUGGGCCAGCACUGACGCUCAUGCACGAAAGCGUGGGGAGCAAACAGG